rnacentral:rRNA from 1 species
ACGGGAGGCAGCAGUGGGGAAUAUUGGACAAUGGGGGAAACCCUGAUCCAGCGACGCCGCGUGAGUGAAGAAGUAUUUCGGUAUGUAAAGCUCUAUCAGCAGGGAAGAUAAUGACGGUACCUGACUAAGAAGCCCCGGCUAACUACGUGCCAGCAGCCGCGGUAAUACGUAGGGGGCAAGCGUUAUCCGGAUUUACUGGGUGUAAAGGGAGCGUAGACGGAAGGCCAAGUCUGAUGUGAAAACCCGGGGCUCAACCCCGGGACUGCAUUGGAAACUGGUCAUCUAGAGUGCAGGAGAGGUAAGUGGAAUUCCUAGUGUAGCGGUGAAAUGCGUAGAUAUUAGGAGGAAUACCAGUGGCGAAGGCGACUUACUGGGCCGUAACUGACGCUGAGGCGCGAAAGCGUGGGGAGCGAACAGGAUUAGAUACCCUGGUA